AAGUUAACCGGGCGCAGGGCAUAGCCGUGAUCAAGAAGGCGGUUUCCCCAGGGGAUGGCCUUCCUCGCGGUUGAGCUGACCCCUGUGGGUUAUAAAGGCUCAUAGUGACAUAACCCAUGCGGAAUAAUUUUUGGUAGUCGGGACUGCGACCAUAAGCGCGGUCCCAC
rnacentral:snRNA from 14 species